UACGGAGGGGGCUAGCGUUGUUCGGAAUUACUGGGCGUAAAGCGCACGUAGGCGGCUUUGCAAGUCAGAGGUGAAAUCCUGGAGCUCAACUCCAGAACUGCCUUCGAUACUGGAAGACUCGAGUCCGGGAGAGGUGAGUGGAACUGCGAGUGUAGAGGUGAAAUUCGUAGAUAUUCGCAAGAACACCAGUGGCGAAGGCGGCUUACUGGUCCGGAACUGACGCUGAGGUGCGAAAGCGUGGGGAGCAAACAGG
rnacentral:rRNA from 1 species